ensembl:lncRNA uncharacterized LOC115354668
AUCCAUCUCCUCGGUCCCAUCUGUCUCGUAGCACUCCUCCAUCGUGGAGUUGUCCAUGUCAUCUAGGCUAUUGAUCACAGGGGCUUAAUCCAUUUCACUCAUCAAACCUCUGGGAGCCUGGAGCUGCUACCUGGGCCCUAAUACGUCCAUCAGUCAGUCAGCGUCCAGUCAGCUGGCAGGCUCAAUCUCGCCCAGCCCAGGGAUUCCUUAAUGGUCUGACCCCCUGCACCCCCCGCAACCAGGGGCCUCAUUUCAUUAAUCUAAGCCCACAUGGAAACUCAUUCCCUGCCUGACAGCCAGACCUCUCCCCCAGGGCAGUGUGAGGGUCUGCGGGACAGCGAGGGAGGGGUGCGCUGCGGCACUGUGAUCAAUAGUGCUUGUGACCAAACAUCUCAAAAGCACAUUAAAAUGCCACUCAUCCUGGCCCCCGUUCCGGGACCCUCUCCAAAUAAAUCAAGGGCUGGUCCCAGCAGGUGAAGAGGCUUUUCUGAAGGCGCUGCUCCAGUCGAGGGCCCUCGAAGCCCAGCUGGCGCUACUUUACCCCGAUACUGUAGCAGUCAUUUAGUGGACCGUCAGUGGCUCAGAGAUGACUUGGAAUCAGUGCUUAAUUAGUUAGCAGCAGCAGUCGUAGCAUUUCUCCCCUGUCAGUGGACCUACAUUACACCAUCUGUCUUAGCAGCAAACACUUAGUGGACCAUCAGACAGCAGCCACCAGUAGUUUGCCACCAUUGGGCUGACAACGCUCCAUGCUGCAAAAAAUACCCCUCUAAACAAAUAAUUUAUUCUAGAGCUGGGUGAUAUAUCAAUAUUAUAUCAAUAUGGCAUAAAUGUUGUCUUUUCCUGGUUUUAAAGGCUGCAAUACAGCAAGGGGAUACAAUUUUCUGAACUGCUCUUCUAUUCGCCUAUUCUACCUGUGUAGGUAAAAGAGCACACACACACACACACACAAUGACCAUUCACUUCAAGGCAUAAAAGAAGUCAAGAAGAGCAGCAAACAGAACUAAAAACCUAAGCUUUCUUCCGAGCUAAGAGCACUUUAGACAGUUUUGAACUUUAUGACUUAAACAGAAUCCACCAACAUGGAAUUUUAUGAACUGAGUUCAUUCAUUUAUAUACAGUUGUGACAUUUAUAUAAAACCAGAAUGUAUUGUUUUAUAUAGUGCCACAUUGCCAUCUACAGUAGUGACUGAGUUACUGAUAUAUUGACUAUUAUUCUAUUGAUGUUCUUUAUCAUUAUCAAUCACCAAGUGUAUGAUCUAGUAAUGAUUUGACUACUAAUAUCUUGUAGAGUUUAAAUGUACUCGACUGCAACUUCUUAGAAAAUCAAGGAUUUACUGUUUUAUUCUGUAUUCAUUUGUGUGAUCAAUAUUAGGCAAUUUCUAAGUGUUUGUCCAUAGAAUAUUACGAUGUCAACGUUGAUGACAGAAUUGAGUAUCCAAUUAAAAGCGCCUAGUUUUCAAAUAAUCUCCUUAAAUUGAAUAGCAAUCCAAUUAUUUUUCCUCAUUUAAAGGCAAGAUCUUUUUUUGCUCCUCACAAUUAAUUAGUAAAAAAGACAUUCCUUCAAAAGAGUGCAGUAUUCCUUUUCCUUACUUGCCAACAAAACUAUAAAAAGUUUUUAUGACUUUUUGACAUUGUUUUUGUGCUCCUAGUCCACGGGUUUCUUGCAACAUUACAAAAAUAAUAAAUGGCAA